UGCAGCGUGGCUCAGUGGAAAGCGCCUGGGCUUCGGAGUCAGAGGUCAUGGGUUCGACUCCCGGCCCUGCCA
rfam:Ornithorhynchus anatinus chromosome X1, whole genome shotgun sequence.